rnacentral:rRNA from 1 species
UACGAAGGGGCUAGCGUUGUUCGGAAUUACUGGGCGUAAAGCGCACGUAGGCGGAUCGAUCAGUCAGGGGUGAAAUCCCAGAGCUCAACUCUGGAACUGCCUUUGAUACUGUCGAUCUGGAGUAUGGAGGAGGUGAGUGGAAUUCCGAGUGUAGAGGUGAAAUUCGUAGAUAUUUGGAGGAACACCAAUGGCGAAGGCAGCUCGCUGGGACGUUACUGACGCUGAGACGCGAAAGCGUGGGGAGCAAACAGG